rnacentral:rRNA from 1 species
GACGGAGGGUGCAAGCGUUGUUCGGAAUUACUGGGCGUAAAGGGCGCGUAGGCGGUCUGUUAAGUUCGGUGUGAAAGCCCCCGGCUUACCCGGGGAACUGCGCCGGAAACCAUCUAGCUAGAGUCCGGAAGAGGAGAGUGGAAUUCCGUGGUGUAGCGGUGAAAUGCGCAGAUAUCAGGAAGAACACCCGUGGCGAAGGCGGCUCUCUGGUACGUGACUGACGCUGAGACGCGAAAGCGUGGGGAGCGAACAGG